AGUAUCCGCACCCCCGUGAAAAUGCCCUGCAAUUCUCUGCCCGAGAAUAAGGAGCCGGCAUCAGGCACAACCCACUAGCCCAAGACGCCUUGCUCAGCCACACCCCCAAGGGAACCAGCAGUGAUAAACAUUAAGCAAUAAGUGAAAACUUGACUUAGUCUUAAAGCUAAGAGGGCCGGUAAAACUCGUGCCAGCCACCGCGGCUAUACGAUAGGCCCAAGUUGAUAUCUAACGGCGUAAAGAGUGGUUUAAAACCUCACAAACUAAAGCCGAACACUUUCUCUGCCGUCAUACGCACUUGAAAGCAUGAAGUACAACUACGAAAGUGGCUUUAUAAUAUUUGAACCCACGAAAGCUAAGAAACAAACUGGGAUUAGAUACCCCACUAUGCUUAGCCCUAAACAUUGAUAGCACCCCACACAAGCUAUUCGCCAGGGGACUACAAGCAUAAGCUUAAAACCCAAAGGACUUGGCGGUGCUUAAGAUCCACCUAGAGGAGCCUGUUCUAGAACCGAUACCCCCCGUUCAACCUCACCCUCUCUUGACCCUUCCCGCCUGUAUACCGCCGUCGUCAGCUUACCCUGUAAAGGAACCAUAGUAAGCAAAACUGGCACAGCCUAAAACGUCAGGUCGAGGUGCAGCGCAUGAGAGGGGAAGAAAUGGGCUACAUUGACUACUUUAGUGAAUACGAACAAUGCACUGAAACGCGCAUCCAAAGGAGGAUUUAACAGUAAGCAGAGAAUAGAGCGCUCCGCUGAAGUUGGCUCUAAAGCGCGCACACACCGCCCGUCAUUCUCCCCUAAUUAAUCUUUCAUAAUAAUUAAAAUACCCCAUCCACAAAGGGGAGGCAAGUC
rnacentral:ncRNA from 1 species